rnacentral:rRNA from 1 species
UGAGUGCGAGCGGCUACGGCCGCGAAGUGGGUGAUGUCAAGCUUCCAAGAAAAGCCCUAUACCCGUUAAGGCAUGAUGGCCUGUACCCGAAACCGACACAGGUGGGGUGGUAGAGAAUACCGAGGGGCGCGAGGUAACUCUCUCUAAGGAACUCGGCAAAAUGGCCCCGUAACUUCGGGAGAAGGGGUGCCACCGCAAGGUGGUCGCAGUGAAGAGGCCCAGGCGACUGUUUACCAAAAACACAGGUCUCCGCUAAGUCGCAAGACGAUGUAUGGGGGCUGACGCCUGCCCAGUGCCGGAAGGUUAAGGAAGCUGGUCAGCGCAAGCGAAGCUAGCGACUGAAGCCCCGGUGAACGGCGGCCGUAACAAUAACGGUCCUAAGGUAGCGAAAUUCCUUGUCGGGUAAGUUCCGACCCGCACGAAAGGCGUAACGAUCUGGGCGCUGUCUCGGAGAGAGGCUCGGCGAAAUAGAAUUGUCUGUGAAGAUGCGGACUACGUGCACCCGGACAGAAAGACCCUAUGAAGCUUUACUGUAGCUUGGUAUUGUGCCCGGGCUCUGAAUGCGCAGGAUAGGUGGGAGGCUUUGAUCCAUGGCUUGCGGGUCAUGGUGAGCCAACGGUGAGAUACCACUCUUUCAGAGCUAGGGUUCUAACGGUCACCCGUCAUCCGGGGACCGGACAGUAUCAGGUGAGCAGUUUGACUGGGGCGGUCGCCUCCUAAAAGGUAACGGAGGCGCGCAAAGGUUUGCUCAGGCUGGUUGGAAAUCAGCCGACGAGUGCAAAAGCAGAAGCAAGCUUGACUGUGAGACCUACAAGUCGAACAGGGACGAAAGUCGGCUUUAGUGAUCCGACGGUUCUGAGUGGAAGGGCCGUCGCUCAACGGAUAAAAGUUACUCUAAGGAUAACAGGCUGAUCUCCCCCAAGAGUUCACAUCGACGGGGAGGUUUGGCACCUCGAUGUCGGCUCAUCGCAACCUGGGGCUGAAGUCGGUCCCAAGGGUUGGGCUGUUCGCCCAUUAAAGCGGUACGCGAGCUGGGUUCAGAACGUCGUGAGACAGUUCGGUCCAUAUCCGGUGCACGCGCAGGAACAUUGAGAGGAUUUCUCCCUAGUACGAGAGGACCGGGAGGAACGCACCUCUGGUGUGCCAGUUAUCGUGCCAACGGUAAACGCUGGGUAGCCAUGUGCGGAGUGGAUAACCGCUGAAAGCAUCUAAGUGGGAAGCCCACCUCAAGAUGAGUGUUCCCAUGGCAUAAGCCAGUAAGGUCACGGGAAGAACACCCGUUGAUAGGCUCUACGUGGAAGCCGGGUAACCGGUGAAGCGGAGGAGUACUAAUAGACCGAGGGCUUGAC